rnacentral:rRNA from 1 species
GGGGGAUAUUGCACAAUGGAGGAAACUCUGAUGCAGCGACGCCGCGUGAGGGAAGAAGGUUUUCGGAUUGUAAACCUCUGUCUUCGGGGACGAAACAAAUGACGGUACUCGAGGAGGAAGCCACGGCUAACUACGUGCCAGCAGCCGCGGUAAUACGUAGGUGGCAAGCGUUGUCCGGAAUUACUGGGUGUAAAGGGAGCGCAGGCGGAACUGCAAGUUGGGUGUUUAAUCUACGGGCUCAACCCGUAUCAGCAUUCAAAACUGUGGUUCUUGAGUAAUGCAGAGGUAGGCGGAAUUCCCGGUGUAGCGGUGGAAUGCGUAGAGAUCGGGAGGAACAUCAGUGGCGAAGGCGACUGCCUGAGCCAACACUGACACUGAGGCACGAAAGCGUGGGGAGCAAACA